rnacentral:rRNA from 1 species
UACGAAGGGGGCUAGCGUUGCUCGGAAUCACUGGGCGUAAAGCGCACGUAGGCGGAUUGCUAAGUCAGGGGUGAAAUCCUGGAGCUCAACUCCAGAACUGCCCUUGAUACUGGCGGUCUCGAGUCCGGGAGAGGUGAGUGGAACUGCGAGUGUAGAGGUGAAAUUCGUAGAUAUUCGCAAGAACACCAGUGGCGAAGGCGGCUCACUGGCCCGGUACUGACGCUGAGGAACGAAAGCCAGGGGAGCGAACGGG